UACAGAGGUCCCAAGCGUUGUUCGGAUUCACUGGGCGUAAAGGGUGCGUAGGUGGCCGGGUAAGUCGGAUGUGAAAUCUCCGAGCUCAACUCGGAAAUGGCAUUGGAAACUACCCAGCUCGAGGGUUGGAGGGGGGACUGGAAUGCUUGGUGUAGCAGUGAAAUGCGUAGAUAUCAAGCGGAACACCAGUGGCGAAGGCGAGUCCCUGGACAACUCCUGACACUGAGGCACGAAAGCUAGGGGAGCAAACAGG
rnacentral:rRNA from 1 species